rnacentral:lncRNA from 1 species
GUCCUCGCUUCCACGUUCGCUCCGUUCCACGCGCACGCUGGCAUCUAUUUCUCUGACGCAAUGCCGGCCUCUUUUGCCCGGCGCGGGCCGCCUCGGCAGCAGCGCGCUCAGGCCGUUCGGCGAAAUGCCGACCCGGGUGUCUUUUCUUGGACCGCAACGGUUGCCGUCGAGAACCCAGGUCGGCUCGUUUAACAGGCUUAGGAAGCGUUCUGGUGCGUAUGUGUAUAUGCCGGAGGGGCGAGCUACGUUGCAAGGCCCGUGGAUUUCUUGGCAGCGUGAAUCCUUGGACAUGGUACGUAAAUGCUUCUGAUCUCCAUUCCUUUCGUGUUCUAGACUGCUAGUGGCUGCGUGCUGCGUGAUUUGUAUUUCAAAGAUGGUUUCUCAUUCCAUUUGUUCCACGCUUGGACCAACCAAACAUUUUCUGUAGCUAGUAAUUCGGCAAUUCACCUCCAACUCUGGUUUCUAAAAUAGCUGAUCCAAAGCAAAAAAGAUGACUGCACAUACUAUCUGCCCUUGAAUGCACUCCAUUUUCAAUCUUUCACCGAUAACACAAGAUCGUCAUUUCACAUGUUUAUACUUUGUUUCAUGUUUGUGAAACUUAAAGCAUAUAUAUAGAGACCAUUUAAAGGCUUGCAAAAGAAAUCUAAAGGAAGAUGAAUUUUAUAAAUUAUCUUUCCUUAAAGAACCACGAAAGCUCAAAAUGGCAACCUGUUAGGCUCUAUACAAAGUACAAACAAACUCGUAGUUCUACGAAACUAGGAAAGUUACAUGUAUAUCAUGCACGAAAAUACAAGAUUAUCCAUUAUUGUAUCUUGGCUGAUUUUCGCAUCUGCGGGUCAGCAUCUAUACUGGCCAGGCAGGAGACAACUUCCAUGAUGGUUGGCCUCAUGAAUUGAUUGUGGUCGACACAUUUGGAAGCAGCUUCAAGCACCUUUAACAUUUGAUCUUCACAUCCUGUGCCUCGAAGUGUUGGAUCCAGGACCUCAACCUGCUUCCCCUCAGACCUCAUCUCCAGCACCCAUGGGACAAGUUCUUUUGACGUUGAUAGGAUUGAGACAGGUCGUAUUCCAGUGAGCAGCUCAAGCAUGACUACUCCAAAACUGUACAUAUCACCUCUCAACGUAGCAACCCAUGCUUGCCCAUACUCAGGGGGAAUGUAACCCAUAGUACCGACCAGCUCAGUCGUAACAUGAGUUUGGUUGGGAAGGAUCAAUCUGGCUAGCCCAAAAUCUGCAACAUAAGCUUUAAAUUCUUUGUCCAGUAAGAUAUUACUGCAUUUGAUGUCACGGUGGACAAUCUGAGGCUUGCAGACAUCAUGGAUAUGGGAAAGGCCAAGGCUUGCUCCUUGCGCGAUCUUCAGCCGAGUUGGCCAGUCAAGCCAUGAGCUAGCUUCGUCAUCCCUGUUAUGAAGCCAAUCAUCCAGGCUGCCGUUUUCCAUGUAGGAAUAUAUGAGGAGCUUUGAGUUUCCCUGGAUGCAGUAACCCCACAGCGGCACAAUAUUUUCAUGUUGUGCAUUGGAAAGAGCAUCAACCUCUGCACUGAACUCUCUUUCCAUAAGACACAUUUCACUGUUGAGCUUUUUGAUUGCCAGCUUGGAGCCAUCAGGUAGCUCUGCCUUGUAUACUAAUCCAUAACCUCCACAACCAAUGAUGUUCUCCUUGUCAAAAUUGUUUGUAGCUUUCAAAAUGUCAGUGAAUUUGAGCUUGCUUUCUUCUCCCUUGCCUCGUGACAUCACUACCAAUGUUUGCUCUGAACUGGAGUUGAAUGAAGUUGAUUCGGCAUCUCCAUUGUUCUUCUCCCUUGUAUUUUUGGUGGUAAAACCAUUGACUCUGAUCGAGACAAGGAGACGCCCCAGCAACAAGAGAACAGCAAUGCUUCCAAAGAACACUCCAAAUGUGAUUGCAAAAAGGGCCUUCCUAUGUCGUAGUUUUGAGUGGAUCAGAGGUGGUGAAGCUGAACCACAUUUGUGAAUUAGCAUAGAGCCACACAACUUUGGAUUCCCACCAAAACUAGAGUUCUGAAAUGUAUUAAACUGACCUCCAGAUGGAAUAGGCCCUUCUAGGUCAUUGUUAGAAAUGUUGAAUGCUGACAGGAAAUGCAGGCUGUUCAAUGCAGUUGGGAUUCCACCUGUGAGGUUGUUGGUCGACAAGUCUAAUACCUGCAGGCUUGUGAGAUUGGAUAAUGAUUGUGGGAUUUGUCCUGUCAAGUCAUUGAAGCUGAAAUUGAGUGAACAGAGGGCUCUCAACUGACCAAUCUCCAAGGGUAUCUUACCACUAAAUUUAUUGCUACUUAGAUCCAGUACUUUAGGGAAAGCCAUUGGUACGCGGUAUUGAAGUGACAGAGCUAGAUAAAUUGGUAACUCAAAGAAUCUGAGGUCCGAAUGGGUUGCAGUAUUAUCUGAUCUUAGCAUUGGUAUCUGCAUUAAGGUUGUUGGGAUUUCCCCCAUCAUGCUGUUAUUUGAUAUGUCUAGAUAGAAGAGGAAUUUUAGGCUACUGACCCAGUCAGGUAUCUGCCCUGUUAGCUGAUUGUCUUGUAAAAAUAAUAUCUCCAACUUUUCUAGCUUUGAUAGCCAAUGGGGUAUUUUUCCCAACAAUGAGCAACCUGCUAUUGCUAGAACUUGAAGAUUCUCAAAACCGGCAAUUCUGUCAUCAUCUGGCAUGGUCUCUUUCAUGAAGUUGAGCCCAAUAAGAAGGGUGGUGAGAUUCUUGGAGCUCCUAAGUAGAUGAAGUGCACUUGUGAUAUUUGUAAGAUUGUUUUUAACAAGUGAUAGGAAUGAGAGGUACUUCAGGUUGCCUAUUUUUUCUGACAGCUGGCCAUGGAAAUUAUUGAAAGAUAGCCCAAGUGCAGUUAGAUUGCUGCAGGAGUAGAUGCUUUCCGGAAUUUUGCCUCUGAAGCUGUUGUUCCUAAGAUCUAAAGUUUUUAGAUAGGGUAGGUUGGAGAAAUUAACCUUGGCGAGUUCUCCACUGAAAUUGUUGUUCUUGAAGUCAAUGGUUAUGAGAUUUGUGCAGUUGUUCAGAGUCGAUGGCAGCUCCCCAUACAUGAGGUUGUUGUUUAAACGGAGUUCCUCUAAUCUCUUUAGAUGACCUAUAAAUUCUGGAAUCUUGCCAGUGAUGCUGUUCUCUCCAAGAUCAAGAGUACUCAGAUUACUGAGUUUCCCAAUAUGUGAGCCUUCAAGUGUUCCUUGUAAACCGUUCCCGGGGAAGGAGACAUAUUCUAACAAGGUAGCAUUGAAAAGUUCAUCUGGGAGAGUCCCACUGAGGCGGUUGUGGCCAACCUUGAGCACUCUGAGCAUGGAGCAGCUACCAAAUUCAGGGGGAAUGCUCCCUCUGAAUUGAUUGUAGCAGAGUUCAAGCACUGCCAAAGAUGGCGAGCUGGCACAAAAAUGAGUUGGUAGCUGCCCAGUAAAGCUGUUGUUGCUGGCAUUGAGUGCAACCAGAUUCUUCAUCACCUGCCAUGUUGAGGACGGAAACUGUCCUGUAAACAAAUUGCUUGAGAUGUUCAGUACCUUCAGUGGCCGGGCAUGGGUAGAUGACAACUCGUGUAGGUCUCCUCUGAGACGGUUAAAGCUGACGUCUACGAUGAGGAUGCUUCUGGAGGAUACCAGUUCCUGUGGUACACCACCAGAUAGCAGAUUGUUUGACAGGUUGAGGCGCAGCAAUCCAGUGAGGUUCCCAAGAGAAGGUGUGAUGUGCCCCUGAAGACUCCUAGAAGCCAGCAAGAUAUCCGUAACAAUCCCAUCUGUGCUGCAGGUGAUCCCUUCCCACUGGCAGCAAGCCGUGCCAUGCUGCCAGGACGCAUCGAGGCCACCGUGUUGUGAGAGCCCGCCGAGAAACUGGAGAAGGGAGUCCUUCUCCUGCUCCGUGCAGGAACUGGUAGGAGAGGCCAAGCAUAUCAGCAGCACAAGAGCUAGGCCAAGGGAAGGUAUGUGCAAUAUCUUGCUGUAUGUCUUGUUAGGAAAAUGGAGUGUCUGCAUGGUUUUCUGGUGAAACUAGCACUGGAACCGGAGGUUAUGUUGUCCCCUGACUAGAUAAAGCAUCAAUGGUGGUCUAACCAUGAAAGAGCUUGAUGGGAAAGAAAGAAGCAGAUCUUGCUCCCAUUUGUUCUGUCCCUUGUAGUGGUAGUCAACAGGAUUGGAUUUUACACAACUGCCCCCAGCCCACCAGGCCGCUUCCUAGUUCACACUGAUGUUUCAGUGUUUCACCAUCGGUUGCAUGCUGUAAUCUACUGACAAGUCUAUUGCCCAAUCUUCCUGAACACCUUCCGUACCAAAAGGACUUCAUUGUAGAUUUUCUAGUCCUCCUUGACUCAAUCCUCGAUGAAAUUUUACAGCGUGCCUUAGUUUAGUUGCCCUGACAUCACCUCUCUAACUGGCUUCACUAAAUAAAUCUCACCUGUUUCCCACUAGCACUGAACUAAACUAUUACUUCUCGGCGCAUCAUUUGCCUUUUGGGAACAGAUAGUACGGAGGUAAUUAUUUCUAGAAGGUGCUUGCGCUUGAGAGCGAUCAUCGGCGUCUCCGUCAGUGUGCGGACAAACACAAGUGGAGGGAAAGAAGUGCAAUUUUGUUGCUUAAUGGGCACGGGGUGGAUGAUUGACCUGCUGGGUAAUCUGUUCUUUGUUUCAUCCUCUUGACCCAGGCAUUAACUUCGUCUGAUGGAUACAUUUGCUGUUAGUUACCAUUGUCCUGGCUCCACUUUCGCACUAUUGUGGACCAUAUGGACUGGUUUUCAUCUGAAUUUGGAGGCGGUUCGAAGUAAACAUCGUAGCGUGUGAGCUCUGGCAGUGGCAAGCUCGUUCAUCACUUGUCUCUGAUGCUUUUUUUUUUUGCGGAACAAAGGGCUGAUACAUAUAUAUGUAUCAGGAAACAGAGUUUACAACAAGCCCUUAGUUGUGAGGGACAUCUACAGGACUACUACCAAUUCAACACGCUGUGUGAAGACUAGUUCUAGCAUAACAAGCAAGGUUGUGACUAAACAUAUUCUGCUCCGUACUAAUCUUCAUGACAAUAGUCUCUGAUGCUUGUCAGCUUGUGGUUGUGGGAACGCUUGUGCUGUGUGGAAAUGGUCCUUUGGAACCGAACCAUGUACAGUAUCAGUUAUAGUUUUAGUACUUCAGUUGAAUAUAUGUUGAAUAUAUAUAUGAUUGGUGUUAUGUAAGAAUCACAUUGCUUUUGGGGUACAAGUUUAGUUUAGCUUUUGGAUGACAAUGAUGUGCUGAUGUUUGCUGCAGCGUAUCGUAGAUGUUGCACUCUAUCAUUGAUCACCGUGCAUGUGGUUAAUGAUUUUCCACUCUGAUUGAGGAAAAAUAUACCAAAUGAAUGAAGGCUCGCUGCAGAGUUGGCAAUGAAUCCCCUUUGUUGUCAUGUUUAGCAUGUAUCAGUGGUACUGUGUUUUCACCCCUCAAGAAAAAAAAGCGGUACUCUGUUUUCUGCUUUUGUCCAUGUUAUAAUUAUCGGAUACAGUGUGGAUUGAAGAACAUAACACAAGAGACUGACACCAUAUUAUUAUUAUUAUUAUUAUUAUUAUUAUUAUUAUUAUUAUUAUUAUUAUUAUUAUUAUUAUUAUUAU